rnacentral:sRNA from 1 species
UGUUUUUGAUGUUUUUCUCAACUUAUGGUUGAUCGAUUUCAAGAUGUAGAAUUGUUAUUUAUUUUCCAAAGAAUGUUAUGAAGGUAGAAAGUAAUGAUCAAUCACAC